ensembl:lncRNA
CCCACCCCACACACACACAACCUUGUCAUGAGGUUAAAUGAGUUAAUACGCACAGAUGCCUGAAUCAGGACUGACACUUGGAUCUCAGCACCCUUCACCUCCUCCUCCUCCUCCUCGUCAUCAUCACCGUCAUUGUUAGCGGCCCUCAUCCAUUCGUUCGGCGGACACACUGUGCUCCUGCAUGGCCCUGAUGUGGGCAGCGAGGCCGGCGAACUGGGAGGCUCCGCACAGGACUCACCCUGCCUGCUGGGACCGCAUGGACAAGACCUGUGCAGUGACACAGAGGCCCCGGAGAGGCUGGAUCCUCCGGUCAUGGGAGGCGUGGGGCCUCAGCAUCAGAGGUGGAGGGAGAGCUGGGUUCAUCCAGGAGGGUGCAGCCUUUCACUCAAAGUGGGGAAGAACCCCAUGUGGCACCCGGUGUCUGGGAGGCUCCGCUUGCCCUGGCAGGCUGCGGGCACAGCACAGAUGACCAGGAGUCUGCAUUUCAGGGGCUGAGGCUGGCGCUGAGUAAAUGUGUUUGGCCCACUGAGGAUUUUUCUUAAAACCAUCCUAAGUGACUUUGGCUCCAUUGCUUUUGCCAAAUACCUACAGUGAUACCAAGAACUUUGUACACUCUGAGGGUGGUGACUGGACGUGGAGCCCAGCACAGACCCAAGUCAGUCCUGCCCUGAGUACCACAGGCUGGCCACACCAUCCCCUUCCAUGGCCUGGCUUUCUUCUGCCAGGAUCCCCAGGAUGGUGAAAAGGCAAGUGUGGCCUCAAGCUGGGGGCCCAGCAUGGGCUCUAAGUCCCUGGGGGUCCCCUUGGGAAGUCUGGUGGACCGUAGUCCCCACUGCCAUCGGGCAGCUCUGUCUCGGGAAUGUCGUGUUUCUUUGCUUUUUGUUAUGAUGCAGCACCCCAGUUAUCUCAGGGCAACUGGGGAGUCUGCUGGUGCUGCAUGCGCCCACCUUAGACGGGGAAACAUUAUUGCUACAUUGAUGCUGCUCAUUGAUACUGGGAAUCUGUUAAACAGAAAUGGCAAGGGAACAGAGAAAACAGAAAAGAAAAAUAGAGAGUUGCUGGGUCACUUCAGGUCUCACCUGUGAUUAAGAGUGUGUGCAGCCAGCACGUGAACCCGGUUCCACACCCACCAGCUACCAGGGCCAGGCGCUGAUUUUAGACCCCAGACUCACUAAGGAGUCAUUGACAGAUACAGUUUAUGUGUAUUUCAAGUCUACUUUGUGAUGACUUGAUGCCCACAGACGUCGUGGAAUGAUUGCCCCACAUACGCAUCGCCUCACACAGUUAACUGUGUGUGUGUGUGUGUGUGUGUACAUGUGUGUGGUGAGGAUGCUUUGGUCUCUCAACACCUCUCAAGCACGCAAUACCAUAUUAUUAACUAUGGUCACCCUGCUGUUCGUUAGGUCCUCAGAACUUGAUCUUAUAACUGAAAGUUGGUCCUUCUCACCUACAUCUCCCCAUCCCCUGACCCAACACCUGGCAACCACUGCUCUAUUCCAUGCCUGUGAAAUCGGCUUUUAUUGAUUCUACACAUAAGUGAUACCAUACAAUACUGUCGCUCUGUCUGACUAGUUUCACUGAGCAGACUAUCCUCCAGGUUUGUCUAUGUUGUCACAAAUGGCGGGAUUGCCUUCUUUAUAUGGCUGGAUAAUCCCCAUUGUAUCUAUCUACCACACCUUCCUGAUCUGCUCACCCACUGAACGACACUUAGACGUCUCUGUAUCUUGGCUGUCCUGAGUAAGGCUGCAGAGAAUGUGGAGUGCGCUUGUCUCUCGAGAUCCUGAUGUCAUUGUCUUGGGCUGGCUACCCAGAAGCGAGAUGGCUGGGUCAGAUGGUGGCUCUCGUUUUAAUUUUCUGAGGAACCUAGGCGGUGACUUCAUCUCUCCAAACCUCAGUGUCCCCAUCCAUGAAGGAGCAGUGGUCCUGACUUCCCCAUCAAGCUCAUUGCGUUACGAGCCCAGGCUUGUUCUGCUCGCCACAGGACAGGCCAAUAAAUGAUGAGAUGAGUUGCUGGAACAAGGAAUAACGACUUUAACCAGAAAGCUAGUAAACCGAGAACGCCAGACUAGUGUCUCAAAAACCAUCUUUCCUCAGUCCAAAUUCGGGCUCCGUUUAUAUAGAAGAGGGAGGUAGUGGGGCCACUAUGGCACUGACCAAUGGCUGAGCAAGAUCACUAAUGAUCACUGGCUUGGGGCGGGGCUUAUCGUGGCACUGACCAAUGGCUGAGCAGGACCACUAACGAUUGCUGGUCAACAGUUGCUCACUAAUGGCCGCUCACUUGGGGCGGGGCUUACCAUGGCACUGACCAAUGGCUGAGCAGGACCACUAACGGUCGCUGGUGGACAGUUGCUCACUAACGGUCACUUGCUUGGGGAAAGGGCCCGUUGUGGUGCCAGCCAGUGGCUGAGAGGGGCGCGAUAGCUCAAGCCUGCCUUGCUGCCACUGCACCGGGCAGAAAGAUGUGACACCAGAAAGCUUCCAGGUCUGAGGAAGUGCCAGCCGCUCCAGCAAGGUCGUCGCCCGGCUCUCGGCAGAGAGGGCCACAGGCAGCAAGAGCGCGGUGGCCACCCUGGGACUGGGAUCACUGUCUGAGAUGGUGGGCACAGUGGGCUCAGCCUGCCUCUGGCCCCACCAGUCAGCUCGUACACCGAUGAGAUGGCCCUGGGCGGGGCCCCGCCCUCCCGCCCGCUCGCACAGUGAGUGGACGGAGGGAGCGGCCGUCCUGGUGGGCUAGGGGCAGAAGUACAGGCAGGCGGCCCCUGCCUCAGUGGUGUGCGGCCCCGGCGCCAAGGAGGGCCGAGGAACACCCAUCACGCGCCAGGUUCGGGCUGUGCUGGGGUGGCAGGGAGAGGUGGCUGUUUCCACUGGAGUGGGUCCUCAAAGUUCUUAUCAUAGCUUGUGUGGUUCCUGGCUGAACAGCACUCAGUGACCCUCUGCUGCCUGAUCCUGUCAUUCAGACCCGCUGGACCAGAGAGAGUGACUGUGCAAGUUCGCAGCAGCUUAGUCAGGGUGAUGGACUUGCACACAGGCCGGUCUCGAGCCCACUCACAUUAAGAUAAAGGCAGUGCAGAC